CAGUGUUCUCGUCUGCUAAUAAUUAGGAACACAGAUGAAAAGGUCUAUAAAUACAAUGUCUUUGUGGUAAUUAGCACCAUACUAGGCCAUAUACAGCCCAGACAAAUGGAGCCAAGUAAGGUUCAAGAGAUCAAAAACAUUUUUCAGGAUAACCAAUAUCCAGACUGCUCAAGUAAGGAACACUAUUAUAUAAAGAGACGAUGUGAAAAUUUCACACUGAAGGAUGGCGAGCUGCAUUACAUAUACAGAAGAAAAAAGAAAAGAGCCAGCAUUUGGCUAUAGUUGUCCUUUCACCCAAGGAGGCACAAAACAUCUUUGUGGAGCUCCAUGCAGGCCCACUUGGUGGUCAGUGUGGAGUUGAGAAAACUCAUAAUGCUAUAAUCCUUAGAUUUUACUGGCCUGGCAUAGAGCAGGACAUCUGCAAGUGGUGUCCUCAGUGUCAGACCAGGAGAAAGACAGUAAAGGAGAAGAAGGCAUGUGGUACCAUUGGGACUGUGUGGGCAGACCCUCCACAGCUGGCAAAUACACCUGUCCUGCAUGCAUUUAAUGCAUUUGUCCUGUAUCCUCAUAUAAAAAAUAAUAAAAAUAAAUGCAC
ensembl:lncRNA